GAUGAAGAACGCAGCGAAAUGCGAUAAGUAAUGUGAAUUGCAGAAUUCAGUGAAUCAUCGAAUCUUUGAACGCACAUUGCGCCCGCCAGUAUUCUGGCGGGCAUGCCUGUCUGAGCGUCAUUUCAACCCUCAUGCCCCUAGGGCGUGGUGUUGGGGAUCGGCCAAAGCCCGCGAGGGACGGCCGGCCCCUAAAUCUAGUGGCGGACCCGUCGUGGCCUCCUCUGCGAAGUAGUGAUAUUCCGCAUCCGAGAGCGAUGAGCCCCUGCCGUUAAACCCCCAACUUUCCAAGGUUGACCUCAGAUCAGGUAGGAAUACCCGCUGAACUUAAGCAUAUCAAUAAGCGGAGGA
rnacentral:misc_RNA from 1 species